rnacentral:rRNA from 1 species
GACGAACGCUGGCGGCGUGCUUAACACAUGCAAGUCGAGCGGAAAGGCUCCUUCGGGGGUACUCGAGCGGCGAACGGGUGAGUAACACGUGAGUAAUCUGCCCUUGGCUUCGGGAUAGCCACCGGAAACGGUGAUUAAUACCGGAUAUGACCACUCUAGGCAUCUAGUGGUGGUGGAAAGUUUUUCGGCCAGGGAUGUGCUCGCGGCCUAUCAGCUUGAUGGUGAGGUAAUGGCUCACCAUGGCUUCGACGGGUAGCCGGCCUGAGAGGGUGACCGGUCACACUGGGACUGAGACACGGCCCAGACUCCUACGGGAGGCAGCAGUGGGGAAUAUUGGACAAUGGGCGGAAGCCUGAUCCAGCAACGCCGCGUGAGGGAUGACGGCCUUCGAGUUGUAAACCUCUUUCGGUAGGGACGAAGCGCAAGUGACGGUGCCUACUAAAGAAGCACCGGCCAACUACGUGCCAGCCGCCGCGGUAACAC